rnacentral:lncRNA from 1 species
CUUCUGUAUUCUUCGCGUAGUAUCUCUGCAGCAUGAAGAAAAGUUCCACGAAGAUUAGUUUUUUAUUUAUAUUUACAUAAUUACAUAUUUCUAAAAGCAUCGAUAUUUUAAUAAUUAUAUAUUAUUAUUAAUAUAACAAAUUUUAUUUUUUUAACAAACCGCGAAUUUUUUUUCUUUCAAAAGGUAGUUAAAAUGAAUAGUAAUAUUUCAACCACGUGUUCGACUCUAAUUUCGAUGCAUAUGCAAUUUUUAAUCGUUAAACAUCAGGAUUUAUAUAAAUUCUAUCAUUGUAAUACUUCCUGAAAAAGGCAACUGCAUGUUUACAGGGUAAUGAACUAAGUAAGGAGCCGUCUUGACAAGACUCAAAUGGCCCUGUUUGCUUUUAAAUUAAAGAAAAAGGUGCAUUAACACUGGAAAUCUGUACAAAAUUAUAUCAAAGAUUUCAAAAUGGCGACUUUGAUCUUUUUGGUCGAGAAUGUUCCAGAGAGCUAAGAAAAUUUGAAAACGAAAAAAUCAGCAAAAAGAAUUCGGCAGUUGCCUAAAAGAUAGGCCAAAAUCAUUGAAAA